rnacentral:lncRNA from 1 species
CGUCGAUGGUGAGACUCCUCUCAAGCUCGCCGAGUAUUUUGGUGUUGCUGACAAGGUUUUCAAGUACAACAUCAUCUCCGAUGAACCCCCAGCAGAUUUGAACACCAUCACCUUGGCACCCAAUGUCGUGAAUGCUACAUUCAGAACCUUCAUUGAGAUCAUCUUUGAGAACCCUGGCAAAACCGUCCAGUCAUACAACCUUGAUGGUUACUCAUUCUUUUUAGUCGCGUAAGUACUUGUUAUCCCCACUCAUGAGGAAAUUUAAUUAAAUACUUAAUUUUUAUAUGUUUUGUUUUAUAUCCUAUAAUCUACAGGGUAGAACCAGGGAAGUGGACCCCAGAGAAGAGGAAGAACUACAACCUUCUUGAUACCGUGAGCAGACACACCGUUCAAGUUUUCCCCAAAUCUUGGGCAGCUAUCAUGUUGACAUUCGACAAUGCUGGCAUGUGGAACUUGAGGUCGGAGCAUGCUGAGAAUCGUUACUUGGGCCAACAACUCUACAUUAGUGUUUUGUCCCCAGAACGUUCUCUAAGGGAUGAGUACAACAUU